AGUGAACGCUGGCGGUAGGCCUAACACAUGCAAGUCGAACGGCAGCACAGUAAGAGCUUGCUCUUACGGGUGGCGAGUGGCGGACGGGUGAGGCAUACAUCGGAAUCUACUUUUUCGUGGGGGAUAACGUAGGGAAACUUACGCUAAUACCGCAUACGACCUACGGGUGAAAGCAGGGGAUCUUCGGACCUUGCGCGAUUGAAUGAGCCGAUGUCGGAUUAGCUAGUUGGCGGGGUAAAGGCCCACCAAGGCGACGAUCCGUAGCUGGUCUGAGAGGAUGAUCAGCCACACUGGAACUGAGACACGGUCCAGACUCCUACGGGAGGCAGCAGUGGGGAAUAUUCGACAAUGGGCGAAAGCCUGAUCCAGCCAUACCGCGUGGGUGAAGAAGGCCUUCGGGUUGUAAAGCCCUUUUGUUGGGAAAGAAAAGCAGCAGGUUAAUACCCCGCUGUUCUGACGGUACCCAAAGAAUAAGCACCGGCUAACUUCGUG
rnacentral:rRNA from 1 species